CAUCUGUCUGAGACAGUUACGGUUAUCUCACUUGAUUGUUCACAGUCAGUUACAGAUUGAACUCCUUGUGCUACUACUUUCCCCCCUCCUCACUAUUGCACUUGACUAGUCUUUA
rnacentral:Y_RNA from 1 species